rnacentral:rRNA from 1 species
GACGAACGCUGGCGGCGUGCUUAACACAUGCAAGUCGAACGGAAAGGCCCUUCGGGGUACUCGAGUGGCGAACGGGUGAGUAACACGUUGGUGAUCUGCCCUGCACUUUGGGAUAAGCCUGGGAAACUGGGUCUAAUACCGGAUAGGACCACGGCAUUCAUUUGCUGUGGUGGAAAGCUUUUGCGGUGUGGGAUGGGCCCGCGGCCUAUCAGCUUGUUGGUGGGGUAAUGGCAUACCAAGGCGACGACGGGUAGCCGGCCUGAGAGGGUGACCGGCCACAAUGGGACUGAGAUACGGCCCAGACUACUACGGGAGGCAGCAGUGGGGAAUAUUGCCCAAUGGGCGCAAGCCUGAUGAAGAGACGCCGCGUGAGGGAUGACGGCCUUCGGGUUGUAAACCUCUUUCGCCAGGGACGAAGCGCAAGUGACGGUACCUGGAGAAGAAGGACCGGCCAACUACGUG